rnacentral:rRNA from 1 species
AGUGAACGCUGGCGGUAGGCCUAACACAUGCAAGUCGAACGGCAGCACAGUAAGAGCUUGCUCUUACGGGUGGCGAGUGGCGGACGGGUGAGGAAUACAUCGGAAUCUACUUUUUCGUGGGGGAUAACGUAGGGAAACUUACGCUAAUACCGCAUACGACCUACGGGUGAAAGCAGGGGAUCUUCGGACCUUGCGCGAUUGAAUGAGCCGAUGUCGGAUUAGCUAGUUGGCGGGGUAAAGGCCCACCAAGGCGACGAUCCGUAGCUGGUCUGAGAGGAUGAUCAGCCGCACUGGAACUGAGACACGGUCCAGACGCCUGCGAGAGGCAGCAGUGGGGAAUAUUGGACAAUGGGCGCAAGCCUGAUCCAGCCAGACCGCGUGGGUGAAGAAGGCCUUCGGGUUGUAAAGCCCUUUUGUGGGGAAAGAAAAGCAGCAGGUUAAUACCCCGCUGUUCUGACGGUACCCAAAGAAUAAGCACCGGCUAACUUCGUG